GACGAACGCUGGCGGCGUGCUUAACACAUGCAAGUCGAACGGAAAGGCCCCUUUGGGGGUACUCGAGUGGCGAACGGGGGCGUAACACGUGAGUAACCUGCCCUUGACUUCGGGAUAACUUCAGGAAACUGGGGCUAAUACCGGAUAGGAAUCCUUGCUGCAUGGUGGGGGUUGGAAAGCUUCGGCGGUUUUGGAUGGACUCGCGGCUUAUCAGCUUGUUGGUGGGGUAGUGGCUUACCAAGGCUUUGACGGGUAGCCGGCCUGAGAGGGCGACCGGCCACAUUGGGACGUAGAUACGGCCCAGACUCCUACGGGAGGCAGAAGUGGGGAAUAUUGCACAAUGGGCGGAAGCCUGAUGCAGCAACGCCGCGGGCGGGAUGACGGCCUUCGGGUUGUAAACCGCUUUCAGCAGGGGCGAAGCUUGUGGUGACGGUACCUGCAGAAGAAGCACCGGCUAACUACGUG
rnacentral:rRNA from 1 species